rnacentral:rRNA from 1 species
AUUGAACGCUGGCGGCAGGCCUAACACAUGCAAGUCGAGCGGAUGAAGGGAGCUUGCUCCUGGAUUCAGCGGCGGACGGGUGAGUAAUGCCUAGGAAUCUGCCUGGUAGUGGGGGAUAACGUCCGGAAACGGGCGCUAAUACCACAUACGUCCUGAGGGAGAAAGUGGGGGAUCGUCGGACCUCACGCUAUCAGAUGAGCCUAGGUCGGAUUAGCUAGUUGGUGGGGUAAAGGCCUACCAAGGCGACGAUCCGUAACUGGUCUGAGAGGAUGAUCAGUCACACUGGAACUGAGACACGGUCCAGACUCCUACGGGAGGCAGCAGUGGGGAAUAUUGGACAAUGGGCGAAAGCCUGAUCCAGCCAUGCCGCGUGUGUGAAGAAGGUCUUCGGAUUGUAAAGCACUUUAAGUUGGGAGGAAGGGCAGUAAGUUAAUACCUUGCUGUUUUGACGUUACCAACAGAAUAAGCACCGGCUAACUUCGUG